CUGAGGUGGGAGUCCCUGACCCCAUUUUCAAAGUAGAAACCUGGGGUCCCCAAUGUUACCACAGGAGCUUGCCUGGCACCGGGCUGUGGCAUGGCCCUGCUGUGGGUUUGAACCCAGAUCCAUCUGACCCAAAGCGAGGAAUGAUGUCCCUGUCCUGACCCCGUGGCUGCCCCCGUCGUCUGGAAAGGGAGCUCCACGCUGACAUCCUGAAUGAGCAGCUCCGGCCACAGAACGCCGCCAUCGGACGAACGUGUUUGCUAUCAGAAAACACAGCCCUGACACCGGGCCGCUCUCCCGGGGAGUCAAGGGGCAGCGCACCCCAACCUGCAGGCUACUGGGGAGCCCCCUCCAACCGGAGAAGUGGAAGGGGAGACACGUACGUGCAGUGGAUGGUCGCGAGGCUACGCCAGUCGGGCUGGAUCCUCCCGUGCGUCCCUCAGAGGAUGCGGCUCUGAGGGGGACGACAA